ACAGAACUAGCUUGCUAGUUGCUGACGAGUGGCGGACGGGUGAGUAACGCGUAGGAAUCUACCGAGUAGUGGGGGACAACAGUUGGAAACGACUGCUAAUACCGCAUAAUCCCUGAGGGGGAAAGGAGGGGAUCUGUUUACAGACCUUUCGCUAUUUGAUGAGCCUGCGUGAGAUUAGCUAGUUGGUGAGGUAAUGGCUCACCAAGGCGACGAUCUCUAGCUGGUCUGAGAGGAUGAUCAGCCACACUGGAACUGAGACACGGUCCAGACUCCUAUGGGAGGCAGCAGUGGGGAAUAUUGCACAAUGGGGGAAACCCUGAUGCAGCCAUGCCGCGUGUGUGAAGAAGGCCUUCGGGUUGUAAAGCACUUUCAGCGAGGAGGAAAGGAGUAUGUUUAAUAAACGUGCUCUGUGACGUUACUCGCAG
rnacentral:rRNA from 1 species